UUGUUUCCCUACUCUUAAAUGAGACAUCAUAACCUUCCUGUUUUGCUCUUCCAAGGGGCUUGGAGCUACUCCUCGAGGAAGCAUUUUCCAAUUCCCCAGUGGAUUUUACAAACGCUAAGAACUACCGUGGAGUAAAAACCUUCCUCUCUGUUGUUACACCGGGGACCCCAAGGGGGCAGUGUCACCGCAUCCGGCAUCUCCUCCAGCUCGAGGCGCGAUUACCACGAGGAGCAACCCUUAUGGAUUCAGUAUAUCUCACAUCCAAGAAUACUACUCAAAUAGUGACAGCCUCCUGCCAACUCCGAGUUGGAAUGAGUUCAGAUUAAUCUAGCAACGGAGUCACAGAAUCGUAGACUAUCUCCCCUGGACAAGGUCUCGUGGAGCUUUCCAUUCACCCUGGAGAGACAAGGAAUCGGAGACCCACAGCAGUCAAUCUGUCCAUCCAGUACCUGGAGGUAGUCGGUCACACUUCAGUGGGUGAGCAGGGCUCCGCAGUGUAACGCCACCCCGGUAAUUCACCUGCCACCCACUCAUCUUCUGCUCGACGUCUGCUGCAGCUCAGCCUUCGCCACCUCCCGGGCCCACAAGCAUCACUCACGGCGCGACACUAAGGGGCUCCAGUGGACACUGCCGGCCCUGCACAGGGCACAGGGGAAAUGGCCUCCCCUGUGAGCCCCACUGCCCAAGCACCAUCAGCCCUGCUGCCUGCACCUCUGGCAUCUAAAGCAAACGGACAUUUUUCAUUGACCUCUAAACCCUCCACUGAAGCACGAAGGACGCCCACUGAACGGACUGCUCAGCAGCUCCAGGCAAAAGACUGAGACUACUUCGGAGUCUAAGGAGAAUGUCACUCACCCUGUAA